rnacentral:rRNA from 1 species
UACAGAGGGUGCAAGCGUUGCUCGGAAUCAUUGGGCGUAAAGGGCACGUAGGUGGUCUUAUUUGUCUUGUGUGAAAUCCUUGGGCUUAACCUAAGAAGUGCGCAAGAAACGGUGAGACUCGAGUUCUGGAGAGGGUCGUGGAAUUCCCGGUGUAGCGGUGAAAUGCGUAGAGAUCGGGAGGAACACCAGAGGCGAAGGCGGCGACCUGGACAGAUACUGACACUCAACUGCGAAAGCGUGGGGAGCAAACAGG